AUUGAACGCUGGCGGCAGGCUUAACACAUGCAAGUCGAACGGAACCUUCGGGUUUAGUGGCGAACGGGUGAGUAAUACCUAGGAAUCUGCCUAUUAGUGGGGGAUAACGGCUCGAAAGGGUCGCUAAUACCGCAUACGUCCUACGGGAGAAAGAGGGGGAUCUUCGGACCUCUUGCUAAUAGAUGAGCCUAGGCCGGAUUAGCUAGUUGGUAGGGUAAAGGCCUACCAAGGCGACGAUCCGUAGCUGGUCUGAGAGGAUGAUCAGCCACACUGGAACUGAGACACGGUCCAGACUCCUACGGGAGGCAGCAGUGGGGAAUAUUGGACAAUGGGGGCAACCCUGAUCCAGCCAUGCCGCGUGUGUGAAGAAGGCC
rnacentral:rRNA from 1 species